CACGUCUCCUCCCUCUCAAUCCUAGCCGCCACCACCCACCCUCUACUGCUCCACCACGCACCCACCUCCCCCCCUGGAUUAGGUGCAGGCCGGCCGGUGCGCGCAGGCGGCGGCGCUCCACUCGAGGGCAAAGGGAGGCAACGGCGGUGGUGGUCGCCGUGGACACCCAUCUCUCUCCCCCGCAGACGAACCCCGCCGCAGGAGGCCGCCAUGGAGGCCCGUCCCGAGCUCGCCUCGCCGCUCCUCCAGUGACCUUCGUUGCGCCUGGAUCCGGGCCGAUCCGACGAUUCCCCGACGCGCAGGCGGGCCGGCACGCGGCGCUAGGCGGAGGAGCCCUCCCAUGGCGCCGGCGGCUCUGGAGACGAGCGCUGCACAGAGGAAGAGGAGCAACAUCAGCUCGAGCUGCUGGAAUUGGCAACAUCAGCAAAGAUUUCAGCGGCAAGGAGUGCUUGCCGUAGUGGAAACGAAGCAAGAAUUGGAUGGAGCUCAGGAUUUUUCCACUACCUUGUUAAUAGCUUUGUGAGGGUGUAGGCCAAAACGCUGGAGUUCGUGAUAUUCCUGCAACUAACAAGCCAUAUAUGCUCUGGAUCAGGCUGUGUGGCAGCUGUUUGACACGCGCAUCCACGUUCGUUUUCGUGACCUGGAAGCGAGGCUGCGCGCGUUCGAGCUACUUAAAAAAUAUGUGUACAGUGGGUGAUUAUACAGAUUCUGUUGUCAUGUUCCUUUGUUUAAAAUCUGGGAACCUGGAUCCAUUCAGGCCUAUCUAGGUGAAGCGCCGCACGAGUUAAGCAGAGGCGACUUUGAGGAUUUCACCCGACAGACUAAAGGGUUUUCAUAUGGGGAUAUCGCUGUGUGCGUAAGUAUCUCGCGUGCGGUCAACUUAAAAUGUGUGCGUGUGUGCCGGCCUGGCCUGUACAAUGUAUCAUGGGAUGAUGAUCUGGUUGUCAGCAAGUGGAUACCAUGCCGCUCCGAGGAACCAGGCGCUCUAAGAUGGACAAUGCAUGAGCUUGCGAUGGGAGGCUUUUCCUCACAGAUCGUCGCACCUGCAGUACUCAUGAUGGAUGUCCGGGACGUGAUCGCAAGGCACAAGCCAAGUGUUAGCAUGGAGGACCUGAGCAGUACGGAAGGUUCAAUGAGGAGUUUGGCAAGCAGGGCUGGUCAUGAAGAUACACAGAGAGAGUACUCCAUUGGUACUGAAGAAAUACUGCACGAAUAUGGUUGGUUGUUGUUCCUUGGAAGAAGUAGGAUUCGCGCGUCCAAACUCGAGAGGUACCCGCUGCUGAUAUACCCGUAAACAAAUAAAUCCACCGGCGAGAAAUGCUUCAUAUGCUGCUUCUUUUUUUGUUCUGUCGAUUCAGACUUCCUGUAUCUUGAGUGGCUUUCACCAUUGGGCAAUUCAAGCGAUGGAAGGUAUUUUUCAGUUAUAUUGAAGCUAUUUUGAAAUAGUGAACGACUGCAUGAUUUGUGUUCUUUUAUGAAGGGGUGUAUGUGCUUUUGCAUAAAUGUAUAACCGUAUAAGUGCAAUAUAAAGGCUACUUAGAAGUAUAUACAGAAACUAAACAAGAUGAUGAGGAAACUGUUGCUGCAGCUGUUGAAGAUUCAAAUAAUGUUUUGUGUGACCAAGCUAAACGCAAAAGGACUAAUACUGGUGCUAGCUCUGCAAAGAAAGCAAGGCGGUAGCUUUUCCAUGCCGUAGGUUGGGUGUGUACAUACGGUAUGGCCAUCACUACAUGAGUUCUAUUCUUCGUACAAUCACAAUAGAUCUGGUGUCAAAACAAAUUGAUUAUAGUCCAUCUUCUUCAUCGGGGUAUUUUUGUGUGUUCCGCUUGCUUCUCAAGCUCGGUCUGCCACUAGGAGGUUGUGUUGCUGAAGGGAGCUUCUUCACUGUAUCGCAUCGCAGCAAUGGUCUGGCCAUCGGGUCUCAAGAUUGUACCUUGGCACACUUUUAGGCAUGCACCUGAUGUAUUUUGUGCAUGUUUGCAAAGCAAGACUUUGACACUCGAAGAACUAUGUCAAGCCACUGUCAAUACAAUCCCCUUAUUUAGGUCCUUGAACAAGUGGACUCUUAUGAGAUGUAAAUAUCAUCGUUGGCCCAGCGGGCGUUGACUCUACUUGAUAUUCAUCGCUGCGUACCUUAGUCAUGUAAGCUAAAUGACCAAAGCUUUCUAUACGAUGGACCUCUGCCUAUGUAGCUUGCCUUAUAAAAGCAAUGUAAAUAAGCUAUCACGAACUAAUCUUAUACCUUUCCUAUAA